CUCUUGCUUACCUUGGGUCGACCCAACUCACUGUUCAUUUGUGCUGUUUUUGCAGGAGUGUGCCAGAUGAUUCCUCGAUGUGCCGGGGUCGACCCAAUCAACCUAUGGGUCGACUCAAUCCACACUUUGCUGCAUUCUUAAGGUUAGAUUCAUUCAAAUGAACAAGACCAUAUAUAUAUUCUCAAUUUAAGCAUAUGUACUGAGAGUAAUAACCUUAUAAAUGAAGUAUCAAUUUAACUUAUAGCAUGCUUUAAAUAAUAACUUGUUAAUCAUCAAAAUAACACUAUCAUCCUCAG
rnacentral:lncRNA from 1 species